UACGUAGGGGGCAAGCGUUGUCCGGAUUUAUUGGGCGUAAAGCGCUCGCAGGUGGUCCGAUGCGUCGUGCGUGAAAUCCCCCGGCUCAACCUGGGAACUGCGUCUGAUACUGGACGGCUUGAGUUUGGGAGAGGGAUGUAGAAUUCCAGGUGUAGCGGUGAAAUGCGUAGAUAUCUGGAGGAAUACCGGUGGCGAAGGCGGCAUCCUGGACCAAUACUGACGCUGAGGCGCGAAAGCUAGGGGAGCAAACAGG
rnacentral:rRNA from 1 species